AUUCCAGCUCCAGCAGCGUAUGUUUAUAUUGCUGCGUUUAAAAAGCUCGUAGUUGGACCGUCGGACACGGGAGGGCGGUCGGCCUAAGCGCCGCACUGCUCGGACCGUACCAAGCGCGGUCGGCACCGUCGUCGGCACUUGACUGUGUGGGCGCGCGGUCCGCCGCAUAUUCACCUUGAAGAAAGUGAACCGCUCAAAGGAGGCGCACUGCUCGAACGAUACAGCAUGGUAUGAUGGAACAAGCGCUCGGGUUGCUUUGUUGGUUGCACGACCACGAGCGAAUGAUUAAGAGGGACUGCCGGGGGCAUUCGUACUCGCGGGGGAGAGGUGAAAUUCAGAGAUCCUGCGAAGACGUCCUACUGCGAAAGCAUUUGCCAAGAAUGUUUUCAUUG
rnacentral:rRNA from 1 species